AUUGAACGCUGGCGGCAUGCCUUACACAUGCAAGUCGAACGGUAACAGGUCUUCGGAUGCUGGCGAGUGGCGAACGGGUGAGUAAUACAUCGGAACGUGCCCGAUCGUGGGGGAUAACGAAGCGAAAGCUUUGCUAAUACCGCAUAAGAUCUACGGAUGAAAGCAGGGGACCGCAAGGCCUUGCGCGAACGGAGCGGCCGAUGGCAGAUUAGGUAGUUGGUGGAUAAAAGCUUACCAAGCCGACGAUCUGUAGCUGGUCUGAGAGGACGACCAGCCACACUGGGACUGAGACACGGCCCAGACUCCUACGGGAGGCAGCAGUGGGGAAUUUUGGACAAUGGGCGAAAGCCUGAUCCAGCCAUGCCGCGUGCAGGAUGAAGGCCUUCGGGUUGUAAACUGCUUUUGUACGGAACGAAAAGACUCUGGUUAAUACCUGGGGUCCAUGACGGUACCGUAAGAAUAAGCACCGGCUAACUACGUG
rnacentral:rRNA from 1 species